AGACCUUAUACUAAAGUGUGUAAUAUGCACUAGUCUAAUAAAAAAGAAAAAGCCGUAAGAUUAAAUUUGAGCAAUUUGAUAUACCUUCCAAAGAUGUGUCAAUAUUUCUUUAGGUUCUCUAGAUAUGUAGCUCUAAACUUUUCAAGGUCCCUUAGUUACCAACAUAUUGACCAUUCAGUUAAAGUGCUAUAAUAUUUAUUCAUAUAAUAGUUUCAAAAACUAUCCGUAUG
rnacentral:lncRNA from 1 species